rnacentral:misc_RNA from 1 species
GAUGAAGAACGUAGUGAAAUGCGAUACGUAGUGUGAAUUGCAGAAUUCAGUGAAUCAUCGAAUCUUUGAACGCACAUUGCACCUCUCGGUAUUCCGGGAGGUAUGCCUGUUCGAGCGUCAUUUGUACCCUCAAGCUCUGCUUGGUGUUGGGUGUUUGUUCCGCCUCUGUGUGUGAACUCGCCUCAAAACAAUUGGCAGCCGGCGUACUUGUUUCGGAGCGCAGCACAUUUUGCGAUCCAGAUCAACGUACAGCGGCAUCCAAGAAGCCUUAUUUAACGCUCUUGACCUCGGAUCAGGUAGGGAUACCCACUGAACUUAAGCAUAUCAAUAAGCGGAGGA